GCGGGAAGCCUGAACCAUGCAGUCGAGCGGAGAAGGGAGCUUGCUCCUGGAUUCAGCGGCGGACUGGUGAAUAAUGCCUAGGAAUCUGCCUGGUGUGGGGGAUCCCGACGGGAAACGGGCGCUAAUAAUGCAUACAUCCUGGGGGAGAAAGUGGGGGUUCUUCGGACCUCACGCUCUCAGACUAGCCUUGGUCGUAUUAGCUAGUUGGUGGGGUAACGGCCUACCGGUGCAACUUCUUUAUAACUGGUCGGAUAGGAUGAUCAAUCACUCUGGAACUGAUACACUGUCCACACCCCUACGGGAGGCAGCACUGGGGAAUAUUGUAAAUGGGCGAAAUCCUGUUCCAGCCAUGCCCCGAGUGUGAAGAAGGUCUCCUGAUUGUAAAGCACU
rnacentral:rRNA from 1 species